GAAAUAAAUUAAAUCUAUUUCUAUAUUAUUUUUGUGUUUCUGCGCACAUAUUACCGUUCAUAUCCUAUAUAGACUAUAGGAAAAAUGUCAUUUUUCAUUUUAAAAUAAUAUAUUGAGUUAUAUGUUUGAGUGACGUCAUUUCCAUUUGCUGAGUUGUCCAAUCGUGUCUCGCCCAAAGCUUAGAACAGCUUCGGAUUUGAGCGAGACAGAGACCACAGAACUGAGAGUGUGUUGAUGCUUAAUUCCUGUCCUGUCUUUAAUAAACUGCAGACGAGGUCCCCCAAAGAGUUUGGUGUCGGUGGUUCAUUUGUGGUGCUGGGCGAGAUCCGCUACAUUAAUGUAAUACUAAAAUACAUGCAAUUCCCUGUCAAUUUUAUAGUGGAAAAUAAAUUACAGCAAAUAUCAGUAAAACAACAGACAUUUCAGUGUAUAAUGACAAAACGGGAAAAAUCUGUAAAAAAAAAAAAAAAAAUACAGACCAUUACCUGUAAAUUUACAUUUAUUUUUAACAGUGUAUAUUGAAGAAGUCAUUCAAAUAAUUUAACAUAAAUAUAAAUGUUGAUUAAUAACUUAAAAGAUAUAUAUUGAAGCGGCAGUGGAUUCCAGAAUCCACCCCUUCACUUCUAAAUGAUCCUUCUUUGAGAUUUUCUUUGAGUGUUGCCCAAGUAGCAGUUUACAGCAUUAGGAGCUCUGAAUGUUUUUGGGGGGGAUGCCUGUUGCAUUGUUCGAGGACAGGUGUGAAUGGUCUUGAAUAUGAACCUGUAAGUGCUCUGGGGGGAUGUAUGUGUUCCUUUAGUAUGAUAAGUAGAGAGCAUAAUAGGCCAGCCAGACAGUAUUGUUUGAAUGUAGUAGUGGAAUUUUGAUUAGCAUUUGCAUUGAAAUUAUAAUACUUUGAUGGAUAAUACUUAGAUCUCUACCCUCGACACAUGAUCUACCACCCUGUCUAUUCUUUCAGUUUAUCUACUACAAUAUAAGACCCAUUUGUAUUAUUCACUUAUUAAUUUUUUUACUUUUUCCAUUUCAGAAUUCCAAGAUGUCAUCGGACCACCCCACUGGAUGUACGCAAAGACAUGAUUGCACAUUUCUCAGUAAAGACGAAUAGAGAGGACACUGCAGAUGCUGCAAUAAUGGAUACACAAAUACACUGUAGCAAGUGUAGCAAUGUUUGUCUGUGCUUCUCAGAUAAAAAGAACUUAGGCACUAUCACUGCAAAACACAGACUUCAUUCAAACCACAUUGAAAGUGAUAGAAGAAAAAGUUUUAUGAAUACAAUUUUUUUCAAUAUUUUUUUUUCUCUUUGCAUUUCAAAAGACAUUCCAAAGUGUCCUGGCAGACAGUGGCCGUGGCCACCCCUUUGGCCACCCCACUCGCAACUGCUGUCUCUGUCUACUUUUUUGUUGACAAGAAUUACGAUUAUUUAAACGCAGAAUCGUCUCUUUAAGACAA